AACGAACGCUGGCGGCAGGCCUAACACAUGCAAGUCGAGCGCGCCCUUCGGGGUGAGCGGCGGACGGGUGAGUAACGCGUGGGAACGUGCCCUUUUCUACGGAAUAGCCUCGGGAAACUGAGAGUAAUACCGUAUACGCCCUUUGGGGGAAAGAUUUAUCGGAAAAGGAUCGGCCCGCGUUGGAUUAGGUAGUUGGUGGGGUAAUGGCCUACCAAGCCGACGAUCCAUAGCUGGUUUGAGAGGAUGAUCACCCACACUGGGACUGAGACACGGCCCAGACUCCUACGGGAGGCAGCAGUGGGGAAUCUUAGACAAUGGGGGCAACCCUGAUCUAGCCAUGCCGCGUGAGUGAUGAAGGCCUUAGGGUUGUAAAGCUCUUUCAGCUGGGAAGAUAAUGACGGUACCAGCAGAAGAAGCCCCGGCUAACUCCGUG
rnacentral:rRNA from 1 species